GAGGGUACAGCUCAAGUGGUAGAGUGCAUGCUUAGCAUGCAUGAGGUUCUGGGUUCAAUCCCCAGUACUUCCU
rnacentral:tRNA from 1 species